rnacentral:rRNA from 1 species
GCCUACGGGAGGCAGCAGUAGGGAAUCUUCGGCAAUGGGCGAAAGCCUGACCGAGCAACGCCGCGUGAAUGAAGAAGGCCUUCGGGUUGUAAAAUUCUGUUAUAAGGGAAGAAAGGUGAUAGGAGGAAACGACUAUCAAUUGACGGUACCUUAUGAGAAAGCCACGGCUAACUACGUGCCAGCAGCCGCGGUAAUGCGUAGGUGGCAAGCGUUAUCCGGAUUUAUUGGGCGUAAAGGGAACGCAGGCGGUCUUUUAAGGCUGAUGUGAAAGCCUUCGGCUUAACCGGAGUAGUGCAAUGGAAACU